rnacentral:lncRNA from 1 species
AGCAGAUCUUAUAAUGUGAAAUCAUUGGAAUACAUAUAGAUAUAAUCCAUUCAGAAUUCAUAGGUUUUUCUAUUUUUAAGUCUUCACAAGAUGAUAUUGUGCAGUAUUUUGUGUUCAGAAUAAAAAUUUGUUUUAAUACUAUAUAUGCACAGUACUGUAUGGAAAAUGACGUAAAAUGGAAAAGACAUCAUUUACUAAUUGCAUACUUUUAUCAUACACUGGUCAAUAUCAGUAAUGGGAUCACCCAAAAGAUUGAAGAUAGAAUUCAAUGGGUUGAACCCAGAACUUUGCUAAAAACUGGAGAAAUGGGAGGUGGAAUUGGAUAUGGAUCUCUAAAAGUAGUAAAUAAAUACUUUAUGAUAUGGAUAUCCAUCUGACACAGUUCAUCAAGGAAAAAUAAUUAUAAGACAAGUAUCAAACACUUUGCUUCUUUAAUAUCACAAUUCUAAACUAGCUCUGUAGCAAAGUACAAAGAUUUAAAU